rnacentral:rRNA from 1 species
AGCGAACGCUGGCGGCAGGCCUAACACAUGCAAGUCGAACGAACUCUUCGGAAUUGGUUGCGGUCGGGUGAGGCGAAUGUCGGAAGGUGGCGGUUGGCACGGGAAUCCACAUGUACACGUGUGCUAACGCAGGAAGUGCUAUUCUGGGGAAAGAUUCAUCGUAAUUGGGGCGGCCGGGGUCCGAUUAACUAGUGGGGGAGGGAACGGCGCACCAAGGAGUCGCUCAGUAGCUGGGCUGAGAGGAUGACCAGCCACGCUGGGACGGAGACACGGCCCAGACUCCUACGGGAGGCAGCAGUGGGGAAUCUUGCGCAAUGGGCGAAAGCCUGACGCAGCCAUGCCGCGUGAAUGAUGAAGGUCUUAGGAUUGUAAAAUUCUUUCACCGGGGACGAUAAUGACGGUACCCGGAGAAGAAGCCCCGGCUAACUUCGUG